CGAAAGCCUGACGGAGCAAGACCGCGUGGGGGAGGAAGGCUCUUGGGUUGUAAACCCCUUUUCUCAGGGAAGAACAAAUGACGGUACCUGAGGAAUCAGCCUCGGCUAACUCCGUGCCAGCAGCCGCGGUAAUACGGAGGAGGCAAGCGUUAUCCGGAAUUAUUGGGCGUAAAGAGUCCGUAGGUGGUCUCACAAGUCGACUGUCAAAGCCCGCAGCUUAACUGCGGAGAGGCGGUGGAAACUGUGAGACUAGAGUAUGGUAGGGGUAGAGGGAAUUCCCAGUGUAGCGGUGAAAUGCGUAGAUAUUGGGAAGAACACCGGUGGCGAAAGCGCUCUACUGGACCAUAACUGACACUCAGGGACGAAAGCUAGGGGAGCG
rnacentral:rRNA from 1 species